rnacentral:rRNA from 1 species
AUUGAACGCUGGCGGUAGGCCUAACACAUGCAAGUCGAACGCGAAAGUCCUUCGGGAUGAGUAGAGUGGCGGACGGGUGAGUAACGCGUAGGAAUCUAUCCUGUAGUGGGGAUAACGUUUCGAAAGGAACGCUAAUACCGCAUACGCCCCACGGGGGAAAGCGGGGGAUCUUCGGACCUCGUGCUAUAGGAGGAGCCUGCGUCGGAUUAGCUAGUUGGUGAGGUAAAGGCUCACCAAGGCGACGAUCCGUAGCUGGUCUGAGAGGAUGAUCAGCCACACCGGAACUGAGACACGGUCCGGACUCCUACGGGAGGCAGCAGUGGGGAAUAUUGCGCAAUGGGCGAAAGCCUGACGCAGCCAUACCGCGUGUGUGAAGAAGGCCUU